rnacentral:rRNA from 1 species
CUGCUGCCUUCCGUAGGAGUUUGGGCCGUGUCUCGGUCCCAAUGUGGCCGUUCACCCUCUCAGGCCGGCUACUGAUCGUCGCCUUGGUGGGCCGUUACCUCACCAACAAGCUAAUCAGACGCGGGUCCAUCUCAUACCACCGGAGUUUUUCACACAAGACCAUGCAGUCCCGUGCGCUUAUGCGGUAUUAGCAGUCAUUUCUAACUGUUAUCCCCCUGUAUGAGGCAGGUUACCCACGCGUUACUCACCCGUCCG